GGAGUUUGGACCGUGUCUCAGUUCCAAUGUGGGGGACCUUCCUCUCAGAACCCCUACUGAUCGAUGGCUCGGUGGGCCGUUACCCCGCCGACUACCUAAUCAGACGCAUCCCCAUCCCCUAGCGGUAAACCUUUGGUAUUCGUCAGAUGUCCUCAAAAUACAACAUAGGGUAUUAAUCCGAUUUUCACCGGGCUAUGCCCUACUGGGGGGAAGGUUGGAUACGCGUUACUCACCCGUGCGCCGGUCGCCAUCAGAGUUUGCAAGCAAACCCCAUGCUGCCCCUCGACUUGCAUGUGUUAAGCCUGUAGCUAGCGUUCAUC
rnacentral:rRNA from 1 species